GGGUCCCGCCUCGUGCGCGGGCACACAUACCUACACACCCGUGCGCACCGUGUGGACAGUGCAUCCCCCUCCCCACCGCAUUGCCUUUCCUCCUCGAGCGACAUCACCACUGCAUACGUACAUCUACACCAUUAUCACUACACUUGCAGAGAGGGAGAGAGCAAGCCGGGAGGCAGCAGCAGCAGCAGUGCUCUCUCACUCUCUCACACACUCUUGCGUGUGACGUGUGUCGGUGGCGAUUCGCCGUCACCUCCGCAGGUCGCGAUCUGCACACAGACGCCAUUGGAAGAGUGAACGAAUAGAGAGAAAAGGGAGGCAUGAGCACAUAUCAGCCGCUUUCCACGGUCAUCGUGAGUUGCGGCAGCAGCAGCAGCAGCAACGGUGACGGUGUCUCCGAAGCGGCGCCGCAUCGUCAUCGCCAGCGUGACUCGGUGGCGAGCACCGUGGCCGAGCACGCGGAUGACGGCAUUAAUGGUGCCCUCCACAUUGUCAGCGCCACGGGCCCCCACUCGGGUCGAUUGCGCACGCGCCACAGACGCCGGUGCAACGCAGGCCACUCUACCGGUGAUUUGGAGAACCCGCUGAGAGGGGUGAGCACGACUUACUUGACGCUGUGCUGCGACAGCGUCAGCGUGCAGCUCAAUGCGCGUGACGUCAUUGACGACGUGUCCUGCCUCUUCCGUGGUGGCCGCGUCACGGCGGUCGUGAACUGCUGUGGCACGCACAGUGCCUUCGCCCUGCUCGCUGUGAUGGCAGGUCGGGUGGAGAGCACGGCUGGCAACACGGUGCUGAAUGGCAUCCCCGUCUCCGCAUCGACGUAUCAGGCGCAGGUGAGCUUCCUGGAGGACGUCGGCGAAGUCGCCGAUAAAGAGGAAGAGAGCGGCAGCCGCAUCACCAGGGCGUCGGGCGGCCUCUUUGCGGAGCUCACUGUGCGCGAGAACCUACAGUAUGCCAGUGCGUUGCGCGUCGCCAACUCGGCGCAGGCGUAUUCGGUGGACGAGGUGCUGCAGCAGCUGUUGCUCGGACCCCAUGAGGCAUCCAAGAUCAAGAAUUGUUCUCUCUACGUGCGACGCCGUGUCGCCCUGGGAAAGGAGCUGCUGCUCAAUCCCUCUGUACUCCUUCUUGAUGAACCGCUCGAGGGACUGGCCACGCACGAGUCGCAGCAGUACUUGACGAUCUUGUCGAAGCUGGCGGCACCGUCUGCAGCGGAUGCCGAGGCCCGCCGCGUCAUGCGUGAGGCCAUGUGUGCCGCCGCUGCUACCGCUGCUGGUGAGUGUGGGGUAUCCGCGUGUACCGCUGCCAAUCUUGCCGCAAACCCUCAUGCGGCUGAUGUGUUGCUAUACACUCCGCGUCACAGCAGGCUGCACUCCGGCGCGCAGGCAAGCCCAUCGACGCCGGCGGACAUGUUGCUUACCCCCGCCACGACCGCCGCCGCGACCUUUGCCGAUCCGGCGAGCUGUGCCGAGGCUCAGCGCAUCGUCGUGCUGUCCAUGGUGCAGCCGCGUUGGGCACUGCUGCAGCACGUGCACGAUGUCGUGCUACUGGAGCGAAACCGCUGCGUCUUUGCCGGCUCGGUGCAGGACAUGCUGGCAGUGAAGCUUCCCAAGGGCGUCAUGCGGGAGAACAUGGCAGCGAGCGCGAGCGGCGAUGGGGAGCUAACCGAUGAGACAGGCACUCUCACCACUGGCACCGCCGCCGCCGCAACGUCCACGCCGCGUCGCAACCCCCUCAUGGCAGCGCUGGUUGACUCCUACGACGCCGUCGACGCCUCCAUUCAGCAGCAGCGUCUUGGUGAGCAGACUGUGCACGGUCUAUACCGUCUCGCCGCGAGCAUGACGACUCCCGCGGCCGGUGGCGACGGCUCUGAAAGCGGCGAAGGCGGCGCAGCAGCGACCUCAGAGUCGGAGUUUCGCCCCAUCAUCAACGUUGAGAGUUUCUCAGAUGGGCAGGCGUCGCGCCCAUCCUCGGUCGCAGCUUCAGCAUCGUUCUCCCCAUACACCGGCACGAACGCGGACGGACUCUCAGUCACGCCGCUGAGUCAGCUGUACGCACAUCGGCAGCAGCGCACGCGCGCCAAGGUGACGGCGUACAUGGAGGCCUGCGCGAUGGGUCUCGUCGAUAUGCCAGAGGCAUUCCAUCAGCCGCCGUCUAGCAUAGUGCAGCUGCUGCACCUGUUCCACUUCGGCUUUCUCGAGCUGCGGCACAACCUCCUUUGGGAUGUCUUUUCGCUGGUGUGCGGGCUGACGCUGGCGGCGGCGCUCGCCGCGCUCUACGGUCGUCAGGCCGGCCAGGACGGCAUGCAGAACCGUGUCGGCAUCAUUUUCUUUCUCGUCAGCUGCGUGGUGCUGCAGGCGGUGCUCUCGCUGGACACGCUACGGCGCGAGUACGCGGCCUUCCAGCACUACUCUUUCAGAGGCUACUACGGCGCCUGCACCUACCUCGUCUUUUGCGCCAUCACGGCCGCGCUGUGGCGCUUCGGCCUCGCCUCCUUCGUGGCCCUUGCUGUCUUCGUGCUGUCGAACUUUGGGGAGCCGUGGCACGAGUACCGCGGCGUCUUCGAGCUCUCCGUCAUCCUGGCCGUGACAUCUUUCUGCAGCCACUUCGGUGUUUGGUUCCUGUGCGCCUGGCUACCUUCCGACCACGUUGGGCGCUUCGUCAUCUUCACCUUCUACACACUCAACAUCAUCUUGGCCGGCCUCGUGCUGAACCUGCAGACGCUGCCGGAAACGGUGCAGGCCAUUUCGUUCAUGUCAGUGGUGCGCCUCGCCUACGAGUCAUGUAUCCUGACCCAGUUCAUCGGCAAGUCUUUCGGCUGCCACGACAAUGACACAGCUGAAGCGAACGGCACCUGGCCACGUGUGUCGGUGAUCCCACCGUCGUCGUCGGCGGCGCACCAAGGGUGCAUAGCUGCGCCGACUGCCGAGUACGCCGGCGCAUGCCGACAUGCUCGCGCCUCUACAUUGUUCAUGCGGGGCAUGUUUGGCGCGCGCGCCGCUGUCUAUACCAACACUUGCUACACCGGCACCGAGUACGCUGAGUUUCUCGGCUUUAGUCCUUCACGGCGGUGGUCGAACGUUGGCGUGCUCGUCGGCAUGUCGGCGCUGCUGCUGGCGGGCAGCUGGAUCAUGAUGACGCUGUAUCGCCCGCGGCGGCGGCUCAAGAUGUCGGCUUAACCACCGUAAUGGGUGUCCACAGCUUCUCUAGGCGCGAGCGGGCGGUUGCGCAUCGAAGCGAACAACCGAGGCUCACCCACAUAUAUACGCCUGCUCGCUGCCUCGCUCUGCUACUGCCUGGGCGUUCCUGGGCGUACGCGCGUGGGUGCGUGGGUGCUGUGGAUGAUCACGCGCUCUGUUGCGCGAGCCCUCUCCUGCUCUCCACACACGGGCGCCUUCCCCACGGCUGCUUCUCAUGCACAUGCACGCGUGCGCUUAUUUGCUAUUAUUAUCAUCAUCUGGUGUGUUUUGGCUGCCGACGCGGCUCUCGCCUUGAUCAUCGCUCAGCGACAAGGACGGCGAGAACAACGGCCCACAGGAGAAUGCAUGAACAGCGGGCGGGUGUGGUGGCGCUGAGGGGGGGGUGGGAGGGGGCAGGCAGGCGAGACAGGAGCAUGAAGUGACCUCCUGCCGCAGCCGUGAGGUGGGGGUGGGUGGGAUAUAGAAACUUUGCAGCGAGAUGAGAGCAAUGGCAAAGACGGCGCGGCAGCAUGCGCUUCGUGUGCUCGUGCAUGCGUGUGUGUGUAUGCGGUGAUGAGGUUGUGCCGCCAGCCCUUCCCUCCCCCCCCCCCCCCCCCGCCUUCGCUCUCUCCCCCCACUCGCCUCUCUCUCUCUCGUAGCGCCUUCUUGCCGUGCCUGCUCGCGCUUCACUGCGUCUGCUCUUCUCUCUCUUUCUUGUUCGUCUUGAUGCCCAACCUCCACUCGCUUACGCGCACCUCUCAUGGCACCGCCAUCGCCACAUCCUCGUCCCUUCGACGUGCGCGCGCUGUUGCGCAUCGUCUGUCCCGUAG
rnacentral:misc_RNA from 1 species